UGGGGAAUAUUGCACAAUGGGCGCAAGCCUGAUGCAGCAACGCCGCGUGAGGGACGACGGCCUUCGGGUUGUAAACCUCUUUUAGUAGGGAAGAAGCGAAAGUGACGGUACCUGCAGAAAAAGCACCGGCUAACUACGUGCCAGCAGCCGCGGUAAUACGUAGGGUGCGAGCGUUGUCCGGAAUUAUUGGGCGUAAAGAGCUCGUAGGCGGUCUGUCGCGUCUGCUGUGAAAACCCGAGGCUCAACCUCGGGCCUGCAGUGGGUACGGGCAGACUAGAGUGCGGUAGGGGAGAAUGGAAUUCCUGGUGUAGCGGUGGAAUGCGCAGAUAUCAGGAGGAACACCGAUGGCGAAGGCAGUUCUCUGGGCCGUAACUGACGCUGAGGAGCGAAAGCGUGGGGAGCGAACAGGAUUAGAUACCCUGGUAGUCCACGCCGUAAACGUUGGGCGCUAGAUGUGGGGGACCAUUCCACGGUUUCCGUGUCGCAGCUAACGCAUUAAGCGCCCCGCCUGGGGAGUACGGCCGCAAGGC
rnacentral:rRNA from 1 species